GGGGGUAUGGCGGAAUGGUAGACGCUGCGGACUUAAAAUCCGUUGGUCUUUGAAGACUGUGAGGGUUCAAGUCCCUCUACCCCCA
rnacentral:tRNA from 1 species